AUGAGACGUAACUGCCCAUAUAAAAAUUUUGAGACAUUUACCUUCCGACGAUAGGCCUCCCCAUAGAGAAUAAUAACGGUAAAUAGUAGACACAUGAUUCCGAUGACUAAAAUUUACAAACCAAAAUUCGACCGUCAGAUAUGAUCAUUAUGACAAAAGAUGUCUAUGGUAAAAAAUUCAACUAGAUUCGACAACGUUAAAGGCUCGAUCGAAACGGUCAACUCUAAUCGGAAAUAAGAAAACUGCAUUUUGAAGCCCUAAACGGACUCGGAUGUCCAAAAAGGCCCAUAGGUCAUGGCAUAGCAUUGAGUUUGACUCGUAGGGCCGUUGCGCUUCCGGAAAGGUAUCACAAUAGUUAAUCGGACACCAAACGCCAAAUCUGCAGCAUAGUGAAUAAUAAGGGUAAAUUGCAUUGACCGCAACUAUCGGCACCGAGACUUUACCGGAAUACUGUGAUUUUUCAACCGUAAACGUAUUUCACCAUUCUGGUCAUAUCUUAUUUCACGACUUUUUUGCAUUUGAAGAUUCUACGUAUAGUUUUUUUUUCCCGGAUGAGUUGUUGUCUAGAUCUGCAAAUAUAAGGCACUUUAACCGACAAAACUAUAUUUUCGUCGGCUAAACUUUUAAAAAUUUCGUCGGCUAAAGUUCACAGACUGUAGCCGACGAAAAAAAUUAUUCAGACAACGAAAUUUUAAUUUCGUCGGCUAAAGUUGACCAAAGCCGACGAAAAUUUAAAUUAACCGACGAAAGAAAAUUUCGUCUGCUAAAGUCCAUCUUAGCCGACGAAAAAAUAAUUCAUCGGCCUGAUUUUUUUAUUUUCGUCGGCUAAAGUCUUUCUUCUGGUAGUGGUUGGUUGCUGCCAGCUUUGCAGCUUUGGCAGCAGCAUAUUUUUCCUAAGCCAACAAAAACACAUGAAAGUAAAGAGCUUAUAUAGUAAAAAGAAAAUACAUUUUAAUGGAUGUAAUAUAGUUGAAUUGUUACCCUUUGGUUCUUGGCAUUCUUCCUUGCUUUUGCCCUCAUUUCAUUUAGAGUCAUAGGAGGUCGCUUUGGUUUCUUUGGCUGCAAUAAUGUUGUACACAAUAAGUGACACAAAUAGCCAUGAAAUUAGUAAAACAAGAGUACUCUAAGAUUUAUAAAACUCUAAUACCUGAUCAGAAAUUUGAUGCCCUUCAUUGCUGGCUUUUCUCUUCUUGUUCUCCUUUGGAGGUAAAUGCCUAUGACAUGUUAUCUUAUUAUGCCCUACGAUACCAUAAAUGCCACAUUUGAGGGAUCUCUGCUGCCUUCUCAACUUACCCUCCGUAUUUGCAGAUGCAUCCUUAAACUUUUCAGAUUGAUCCUUUUUCCUUUUUGUCGACGUCGGCCUUCCAUGCAUUCUUGAAUAUGAAGGAGGUAAGAUUGCUGGUCCUCACACCUUGACCACAUGUCUAUAUUGUUAAUAGGAUAGAUGAAAUUGUUGUAGAUAGCCAUGUAUGUCUUCUUCGAAUAACACUCGGCAACAUAAUCCUCAAGGGCUUCCCUCUUCAAGUAGAUGGCUGAAACUGCAUGCUUGCAUGGGAUUCCAGUCAAAUCCUAGCUCCUGCAACUACAUGUUCUCAGCCUUAGGUCAACAACAUUCUUGGUUCCUUGAAUGUUUUCAACCUCAAAUCUAUCCCCACCAUUGAAAGUUAGAGUACAAUCUGCAGAUUUGAUCUUGUUCUUCUCCAAAGUGUCUCUUGGCUUAGGGCAAAUAUUGUGCUCAUACUUGUCCAUUAUCUGCCUUCUCAUUUGAAUCCUCUUCAUAAGCUUCCACCUUAUUUCUUCGAACAUGGUAAUGGGAGGCUUCUUUCUAGCAUCCACGAUAACUGCAUUGAAACUCUCACAUAUAUUGUUAUCCAUUAUGUCACAAUUGCUGGUUGUGUUGAAAAAUACCUGACACCAAUGUCUUGGAGGCCUAUCCUCGUCUGCAAAACAAGUUGAACAAAAACAGUAGUUAAAUCAUCCUGCUAAAACUGCAAUAGCACCAAAACAAAAGGACAGUAAGCAUCUAAACUUUAUCCAAAAUUUUAUCGCUUCACUUACGUGUCAUCCAUUUGUAUGCAUCCUUAUCAAGAUCAUUCAUCUCUUCGAUGUCUUUAAGGUAGUAAGGCAUUGUAGUAUUCCUGACACACUUCCACAUUUGAUCUUUCAAAACUUUUCCACGAAAUAGUUUUAUGAAAUUGGUCCACAUAUGCCUUACACAAAAUCUGAUUUCCGCGCUUGGUACCACCAUUUGACAUGCAGGAAUGAGGCCUUUCUGCUUGUCACUAAUAAAAACCCAUCCUACUCCAUCUUCCUUGAUAUCUAAGUCCUUGCAAAGAAGUUCCAAAAACCAGAUCCAUGAAUCUUUAUUCUCAUUUUCCACCAUAGCAUAUGCAAUAACCCAGCUGUUGUUGUUUGCAUCCACACCAACAGCAGUCAAAAGCUGGCCUCCAAAUGGACUUUUCAAGAAUGCACCAUUUAAGCCCAUCACACUUCUACAACCAGAUUUCAUUCCAUUCUUCAAGGCUCCCAAGCAUAUAUACAUUCUUUGAAACUGUGGAUCCUUGUUACUGUUGCUGAAAUCACACCUUAUAUCCAUUGUGGUAUCAGGAUUAACCCUCUUCAACUCAUUCGCAUAGUCUUUUAACCUUGCAAACUGAUCUCGGAUGGAACCCUCAACCUCUUCCAAAAACCGCCACCUUAACCUUGUAAGCCAUCUGCUUGUUAACUUUUGCCCUCAUCUCACUUGACAUUGUCUUGGCUAAUGAUUCUGCAACAGAAACUUAGUAUAUAAUACACAUAUAUAAACACCCCAUCAGAAAAACACAUAAACUCUCACCUGGGUUCUAGUCCGGAUUGAGGGCAAUUCGAUCCUUGAACUUCCUCACUAGAAGUUUCAUCCUCACCAUGGUAUUGUUAAAUGUUUCAUCCUCACCAUCCUCACCAUGCAUGUGUGGCGAGGAAUCCACUCCUUGAUCUUAAGAGUAUCCUCAUGUUGCAAUUUAGAAGCAAAUAGCAGAAAAGGAUAAUUAUCUUGUUUGCAUAUAGCCUUUAGUCUGACCUUGUCAUUCUUCUGAUACUGAUACUCCCAGCCCCUUUUUAAAGCCAUCAGUCUAAGAGCAUCCCUCAAUAUCACGACACUACCAAACAUCAUGCCCAACUGGAACCUUGGUCUGACCAUGUCAAUUUUAGGGUUGAAGUGUCAGGACCCACCCCGAAUUUCACCCUGAAACCCGAGGUAAAUCCUGUGGGGUCCACCUUCAAGGAAAAUUUACCGAAAAUUCGGCACAACCUUCUUUGAAAAUAGACAACCCUUUCUUGAAAAAUCCAACUUAACACUUCUAUAAUCAAACAUCCAUCCUCAUCUCCUGGAGCUUUCCUGCUCCCCAAGUUCAUCAAAACUCUCAAUAACAAUUUCUCAUCUAAUAAUAAUUCCACAACCAACAAUAAGGACAUUUAAUAAGCUACUACUAGACUUUCAGAGCAUAUCUAAUGAUGAAUGAAAACAAUGAAAAUGAAUUAGCGGAAGCAGCCUCUGACUAUGCCUCGACUCUAUAUACGCUCGUCCUCAAAUAACUUAGCCUGCAAACUGGGCAUUUAUAAACCAAAGGGCCCAGGGGAAAGUAAUUUAAAAACGUUAGAAUGAGUGGACAAAAAUAAAUUCAAUAACUUAACAAUUAUAAAACUUAUAUACUUUCCCACUUUUCAACUUUUAAAACUUAACAGCAUGCAACUUAAACGUCCUUAAACCUUUAAAUCCAAAAUCACUUAAUAAAGGACAAACCAGCCCCGCUGGUUAGUUAAAACAGAAAUCUCAUAAGAGGAGAUAAACCAGCCCCGCUGGUUAAUCAAAUAUAUUAUUGAGAAGAAUAAAAUAGGGGAAGAGUUAUCACCAUGAAAAAGAAGCCUCCCAGGCUCGGGUCGAUGCCUCCCAGGCUAUAAUAGCGUCCCACGCUAAGCGCUCAACUCACAUAUGAUGAGGACCACUAAAUAAGGCUAUAAUAGCGUCCCACGCUAAGUGCUCAACUCACAUAUGAUGAGGAUUGCUAAUAAGGCUAGCUAACUAAUAAAUAUAAAUACCGAUCGGUUGCCUCCCAAGGUAUAAUAGCGUCCCACGCUAAGCGCUCUACUCACAUAUGAAGAAGACCGCUAAUAAGGCUAUAAUAGCGACUCACAUAUGAUGAGGACCGCUAAUAAGGUUAGCUAGCAAUAAUCAAGAUAAACGACCCUAUAAUAUGGUGACUAAAACAUACGAAGUCACUUAAAUCCAUUAAACUUCCCUCCAAGGCCAAACGAAUGGUAUGGUUCCCAACCGUACAUGAAAAUCAUCAGAAGAAAUCAUAACACAACUCAAUGACUUGUCUCACACGUCAAAAUAUUCUCCAAUUUAUAAAUAUAAGCGAGAUUUCAAUAACAGAUAUGAAUCAUAAAUAAUAGUAUCUCCGCCUGAAAAUACUCGCUAAAAUAUUCUCCAAGUCAAAAUCAUUAUGCCUCAAAUAAACAAUUAAAUUAUGAGGAGAACUACCGACAAUCCCAUUUUCGGUAAUCAUUUAUAAAACUCAAAGUCAAGAUCGAUAUUCCACCAAUAAUUUCGAGAAUUAAAAAUAGGAAACUACCGAAAAUCCCAUUUUUGGAAAUCUUAUAUAAAUCUCAAAAUCCACCAUUAAAACCAUUUAAUGAAAUCCGGAAUUUAUAAAAAUAUCCAAACUCAAAUAUCAAAAUAAUAAUCCGAGCUCAACUCCAUAAAUCAUGACCAACACUUAAUAAAUGCACCAAACUCAAAUAAUUUUCAAGCUCAUCUCAUGAACUGAAAAAUUAUAUUAUAUGCUCGGAAAAUAAAAUGAUAGAUUAUAAAAUCUUGCAUGCAUACUUAUUUUUAAAACCAAAAUGUCCACUCACAAAUUUAGGCAUAAGCCCGACGAUAACCGCAACGCCACUCAAGCGAGGUUCCCUUCGCAUCCUGGCACAACAACCAUGCUUAGAACCAAACUUCAAUUCCAGAAAAAUAAAUACGUGAAUUAAAAUAUCUAACUCUCCUCCGUUUAACCCUCUACUCUUAAUAGGGUUAAACUCGCCGGAUUCACACCAAACUCUACCACAACCUUAAUUCAUCAAUUCUAACAGUCUAUAAUAAAUACCAAGGAAAUCCAACGGCCGGAUUUUCAUUCUAAUAACCGGCAUUUUCUCCAAUCUCCGAAAAAUUCUAAACCUAACCAAAACUCAUCCAAAAAUUCCAAACUAUACUUCAAUAAACUCCUCUUAUUAAAACCAUCUCAAAAGCAGGAAAAACUGCCCUUAAGGGGCGGCGGCGGCCGGCAACCGUUUUCCGGCGACCUCCAAUGCUUCUCAAAUUUUCACAGAAUAUUCCUCUCAUCAUGCUCAACAACAUUCAUAACUAGCACUUAGUCCAUUUGUAAGGCUAACUAGGGCAAUCGAACCAAAACAUCCAUAAAUCCCUAAAACUUCAAUUAUACAUUUCUCUAUAACCACAACGAGAUAGACUAAUUCCUUUUGAGGGAUUACUCACCUUGAUGAGGGCUACAAGAUAAGCCAAAGAUUUCGACCUAUGGCGGCCGGAGGUGGGAUUUCCGGCAAAAAGCUUCCCGGCAUCUCCGGCGGGUUUUCUCCUCUUCUGACGAGCUAACGGCUCGGGGGCUAGGCCGGGGAGGGAGAGGAGGUGGCGAGGGUUCGGGCAGAGGUGGUCCGGCGGUCCCUGGCGACCGGACGGCAGCGGAUAGAGGCUCUUCUCCGGCGGGUCAAGUUGCACAGGUGAGGGAGGGAGAGAAAGUGAUGGGUGAGGGAGAGAGGGAGAGAGAGGAAAUGAGGGGGGAGGGUUUUGGGCUGCUCCACAGCCGGCCCAGCUAUAAACCCAACCAAAAAAUAAUACCCAUUAAUAAUUACCCCCUUUUUUCAACUCAAAAUUUACUCUUUUAAUAAUAACUUUUUCAUGCUAGCUCCGAUUUUAACACAUAGCAUGUCUACGAACUCGUAUUAACGUCCUCUACAACUUUCAUGAAGAAAGUUUCCCCAAAUUCCAAACGGAAAAGAAAAUCAACUUUAGGGUCCUUAAAGGGUAACCGGUUACUUAACACGGUAAAAGACCAAAAUAAUACCAAAGUAAAUAACCGUAAAAUAACUUAAGAACCGGGGCGUGACAUGAAGUGCAACCCUUGCUCUUCCCUCUCACCAUCAGAGUUCACAAUGUAGUUGGGCAGUUCUUCAUCAGAAUCUACUCCUCCAAACAUAUCCUCUUUGUCAAAAAAUUCUAGAUGCUGCAUAUUUUCUCCAUUUCUUGAUCCAACAUGACCAUUGAGAAGUGAUCUUUUUCAUUGCUCUUCUUCAUCCGUAAUUUCUUCAACAAUAUAAUCAUCCUCAUCAUCUACAUACUUGUCAUAGUCCUUAUCUUCUGGUAGAGGGUAGUAAUCAGAAUCCUCACUAUCUGAAGGUUCAUCAUCAUAACCUUCUUGAUCUUCAUAACCCACUUUUUCUUGCCUUUGACCACCAUAAGACUGUAGAAAAUCCAAAGAAUCAAAAUUAUCAAAGUCUUGCAGAUUCCCAGCCACAUUCUGCAACAAAUUAUCCUGCUCCACAUCAUGUGACCUAAAACCACUAGAUGACUGCCCAACAUCAUUUGAACCUUCCCAACCAUGCUGAACUACCUUUUUAUGUGGCUUCAUGGACUUAGGAACCUCAAGUUGUUUUUGCUUUCCUUUUUCCUUAUUAUUUUUCCCGCCAACAACGCUACAUUGAGUAGGCACACCCUAUUCAGGUUCUUUUAUCACCACUCCCUUGCUAGGUCUAGCCUCUUCUAUCUCUUCUAUCAAAACAUUGCUUGGUUGCAUGACAAACAAGUCUUCAUAUAUGAAGUCAUCAUCUUCUGGUUCCUUGUGGUCGACAUAGAGAAAUAUCAAUCUCACAAGAGGUACAAGGGUACACAUCACCAAAACAUCCCAAUCGGACUCCAACUUCAUUAAACACCCUCUUUCAUCACCAACUCUAUACCAAUAAUACAUUCGUCAGUAAGCAUAAUCUAGAUUAAUCUCAUGUAGCAUACUAUCUAUCUCAACAAAAGACAUCUUAUCUUUGUCCACAUUGUCAAAGUAGCUUAUUUUGCCUCCAACAUAUUUAUUGCCUGUGUCACACCCCGAAUUUUGGAUAAAUAAAAAUUCCAAAUUCAAGGCAUGAUAAUAAAAAAGAAAAACAAUCAAUACAACAAUUUAGUUUUACAACUUGUGGAAAAUAAUUUGAACAAAGUAAAAUCUCCCUCAAAACUCACUGCAAUCUAGAAAGUAAACAACAAGAAUAAUGCCUAUCUGCCACAGCCUCAACUCUGCUAAACCUGACCUGCAAAAACAACCUCUACACCAUGGAUUGGUGCACUGGGUUGUAAACAACAAACCGGGUAAGCUUUAAUACCUCGUAUGAGUAAAUCAACAAUAAAAGACUCAACCCAACAUCACAUAUGAAUAAAAAUUGGAAUUCUUCCAUUAAUAAUUUAGUUCAGGAAUCACCUAAAAGCAAAAGAAAUUUAGAAGAAAUAAUUAAGAGAACACAACAAUUCAAAAUCAUAAAUGAAUCCUGCAAAAAGCGUAGUUCAGGAUUCCACUAAAAAUCACACAAAUAAAAUUAAAGAAUCUCCUGCAUUAAGCAUAGUUCAGGAGAUACUUAAAACAAGGAAUUUAAAUGACAACAAUAAAGAACAUCACGCAAAUCAUUUCUCCACUCUUACUUAUGAGUUCGUCAACGCAUAAUCAUCCCCCAUAAGUAACUAGACAAACACAUACUCAUGGUUUCGUCAACACAUAGUCAUCCCCCAUGAAGUACCGACAGACUAGAGCUCUAUACUGACCGUAACCAAUCACCCGGCCAAGGCUUGGUUCCCGAUCCACCACGAAGGCUCCUCAUCUAAUGCACACAAUCACCACUAAGGCACACAACCACAACUAAUGCACAACAAUCACCACAAAGGCACAACCACAAUUAAUGCACACAAUCACCACAAAGGCACACAACCACAACUAAUGUACAACAAUCACCACUAAGACACCAUUUCACAAUUAAUGCACACAAUCACCACAAAGACACACAUCCAAUUAUAACCCAUGAUCAGAAGUCCUUUUGAAAGAUUUUAUUUUUAUUAGAAAACAUAUUUUCAUAAUUAGCCGUUGACGAUUAAGCUCAUUUAUAUCUAAAAACAAAAUCAUUUUCUUUCAAGGACAACUUCACAACUAGCAAUAAUAAACUAUAAAAUAAACUCGGUUCCUUUAUGAACUCAUGUGAGAUUUACUCACAAUAUAAUAAUAUCAUCAUCAUCAAAAUCAUUAUCAUCAACAUCAUCAUCAUAAUAAUUAUCAAAAUCAUUAUCAUCAUCAUCAUUAAACUCAUCAUCAUAAUCGUCAUCAUAACAAUUAUCAUCAUCAUCAUCAUCAAAAUCACUAUCAUAAUCAUCAUCAAAAUGACCAUCAUAAUCAUCAUUAAACUCAACAUCACAAUCAUCAUCAUAAUCAUCAUCAAAAUAAAUAGGUCACAAAGUGGACCUUGGUGAGAUUUUACUCACUUUUACUCCCGCUGCGUCUUCACACAAAUACAAGCGUCUAGCUCAAAACUAAACUCCACAAGUCACCCUAUUAACAAAAACGUUAACCUUAGUAACUGACAAAUACGACUUUUACACUUGUUUUCAUAAGUUCAACAUGACAACCAACAACGCUAACACUUUCAGACGUGCCGCCACAUGCAGCUGCGUGUGGGCCCCACACGCCCCCUAAGAACUUCACAAAACCCUAACAUGCUCAAGCAACUCUGAAAACUACACUCAACAUACUCACGUGCUCGUAUCGAUAAGCACAACCUAACAAAGACUACAGACCUCCCAAUCCCCUCCCGGACGCGCCGCCACGCGCCACCACAGAAGGCAGCGAGUGGGCCCCACGCGUCACCAUACAACCUUGCAAUAAAGCACACCCACUAUACCCAACAUGAACAACAAGGCAAGGAGAACAAUUUUCAUACCUAGAGUAACCGCCAGAUCGGUUGGAGCACGCCAGAAAACUGGCCGGAAAGAUAGAAUCCACCCAUCGUAACUCUACGUCGUGAGUUGAGCUUCAAGACCACCAUAAGUUGAACCAGAGCGCCCAACACUUUCUAUCUCGACCGGUUUCAAGCCUCGUCGCCGCUGCCGGAGGUGAGAAUUCGAUCGGGUUGCAAACCGGGUCCCCAGCCCUCACUGUGGCGCUCGGCUUGCAUAGCUCAGCUCGAGUCGUCCUCACCCACCAACACAGGGAAGAUUGCGCAGAGGAGAGAAAGAGAAUCUGACCGGUGCCACCGUCUGAGUCCGCUAGAGUCGGCCGGAAAAUCCGGGUCGGGUCAACCGGGUCCGAGUCGGGUCGGCUGGAGAACUUUAGUGGUGAGGGUUCGGGGAGAGAGGGAGGGAGAGGGAGAAGAAAUGUGAUUCUGAAAAAAUGAGGACCCAAAACGAAAUUUUCCUAUUUAACCUAAAUAUUCCCGAAAAGCCACAACUUCCGCUGACUAUAACUUUCUCAUACGAAGAUCGUUUUACGCGUGCCAUGUGUCUACGAACUCGUAUCGUCGUGCUCUACAACUUCCGUAAAGGAAGUUUCGAGAAACCCAACAGAUUAGAAAGUCAACUCUUGAGCCUUCAGAAUAAAGCAUUUUCAAGAAAUUAAACGCUUACACUUCCAGCCUUCUUUCGAACCUGAAAAACACACUAACUUCUAACUCGAAAAUUCCCAAAUAAUAUCGGGAGCUAAUAUCAAAAUUUUGAGGUAUUACAGCCUGAUAUGCACCUUCCAUGCAACAUCUUAAGUGUGAAAUAGUCUGGAUGAUCUACAAAGACAAAUGGUACAUGCCCAAAAGGGUAGGUUAUAUAAUUGGUAAUUUUGCCUCCAUAAAAGAGGUACAUGCCAAAACUAAAGUGACCAAAUAAACAACAAAUUUGCAUACAACAAUCCUGUUCAAUCACAUUUAAGAUAAAAUAAUACAUUUUUCUAGAGAACCACACAAAACAUCACUACUGAAACCCCCUAUUUUAUUAAUACCGAACCACUGAACCACACAAACCCAUACCAAUUUCAAACUGAACUUGAACAAUAUUAAAAGCAAAUCAUCAACACAACAACUUCAAGUUUCUAAUGAUGAACUUGGGGCAAUCCAAAAAAUAUAUAAAGCUUCCUACAAGGAAACAGCUUCUUCAUGUUGAAUAAUUUCAUAAUGCAUGAGAAGUAAAAACUGAUUCAUAUAGCUAAUUGAUUAUACAAAGCUUGUUGCUCUCUGUGAAAGCUUAACUAGUGCUCACGAUCCUCAGGACCACUCAUAGAUUUGUUAUAUAUAGUUUAAGCAACAAACAAAUUGAACUAAAAAUAUUAAUCUGAACGAAGAACUAACAAUAUUAUACAUUAGAGAGAUAUACCAAGUACCAAUGCUUGUUUGCACUAGUGGGUGGGAGCUAGUGUGGCUUAAGCAAGGUCGAAGGUUCGAUCCUUGUGUAUGCAGCAACAAUCUUAGGAGAGCUUCCCCGUCUACGGGCGGUCCUAACCCUGCUCGAAUGGGAAUUGGGUUUCCGUUAAGGGGUAUUAUCCCCGAACGCCCAAAACCCUUGAUAAAAGAAUAAAGAGAGAUAUACCAAGUCUACUGUAUAUAUCGAUUCGCUAGUUCAUUUGAUAUAGUUUGUGCUGGUAAAUUAGAAUCUUUCUUGUGAUGAUUCAACAACUCGGUUAGUUUAUUGAAUCCAAUUAUUAUAGAUUAUUUGUGUUUAGACCAACAGCUUAAGUUGUAAAAUUUAAAAAUUCUAUUUCAAGUUGGCUUUAAGAGAUAGAUAAAUACAUAAUUAUGUGCCUGAUUACAACUCUGACGAACUAAUGACAAGAGAUUAAGACUUUGUUCAGUUUUAUUAACUGAAUUUACUAUUACAAACUUCACGCCUGCAGGUUAGAGUCAACUAAUCUCUUCAAGGAUGUGAAGUGAGUGUUCUACCACUACAAUUACAAUUGUUUAAUCCUCUGAGAAAUAUUAUUAUCAUUAACAAAGCUUUUAAAAAGGAAAAUGGGACAGACCAGAAGUUUUGGCAGAUCUAGGCGCCACUUCAACAACCAUAUUAUACGGUUAUCUGGCCUAUAACAAACAUCACAACAGCUUUGAAAUCAAUUCCACAAAUAUACUCCCAAACCCAGAAACUCAAAACCUAAAAAGUUAUCAACCAACCAUAAUUUAUUAUCUAGAUAUCGAAACCAUCAAAAAUAAAAACCACCUUUUCCAUCAACAGUGGAUAUAAGGUUGAAUUUUGAAACCCAGAAACCUUAAAUUUUGAAACCAGAAACCCUAAAUUUUGGAAUCGAAACUCACCAUAAGAUCGAAUCCAUUCGUUCAUGUCCCUGUCUUCUCGACGAAUCCAAACCACGAUGUCCUUCAUCUCCAUUAAUUGUCGAAACACCCAACCCUCAAUGGUUUCAAAUUUCAUGGGGCUUCGUCAACUUUAAAAUACGACUUUUCAUUACGCUGCCAUCUUAUAGCAAGAAGGAGUAUGUGUGAUGGAGUGGGUAUGCGUGAUAGAUUCGAAGAAGUGAAUUUAGGGUUUUAAGAGAGAAGAGGAGAUGGGUUAUCGAAAGGGCACUACCAGAAGAAAGGCUUUAGCUGACGAAAAUAAAAAAACCAGGCCAACGAAUUAUUUUUUCGUCGGCUAAAGUCCACGUUAGCCGACGAAAUUUUCCUUCGUCGGCUAAUUUAAAUUUUCGUCGGCUAUAGUCAAUUUUAGCCGACGACAUUAAAAUUUCGUCGGCUAAAGAAUUUUUUUCGUCGGCUAUAGUCUGUCAACUUUAGUCGACGACUUUAAAAAUUCUUUAGCUGACGAAAUUAAAAUUUCGUCGGCUAAAGUGUCUUAUAUUUGCAGAUCUGGACAGCAGCUUUAAUUUCGUCGGCUAAAGUGCCUUAUAUUUGCAGAUCUGGACAGCAGCUCAUCAUCUGGGAAAAAAAAACUGGAGAAAAAGUUUGGGUGUUGUCGAAAUCUGUCCAUAAUUAGUUUGUGGAGCUAUAUAUAGGUACGUAUAUGUGUAUAUAUGUUGAUUUUAAAUUUUAUUUGAGUUGAUCGAUUUUGAGUGUGAUUGAGUUGAUCGAUUUUAAGUACGUCGUUGGAUGUAUAUAUAUAUAUAUGUGUUGAUCGAUUUGGUUGAUGAUUUGAUAAUAUAUAUGUAGUUGUUGUUAAUAAGUAGUAGAUAUAUAUAUACGGAUUUUCUCAGCUGCGGACGUCCGCACCAAUUUUUUGGUGCGGAUUUCCAUUUUUGCACCACUUUCCGAUCGAAUUUCCUCAUCUCCACCGUCUAGUAUCUAGAUAAUAUUGUGUAGAUCAUCUCUGCAAAAUUUCAGCCAAUUUGGUGAUCGUUAAGGCCCUCAAACUUGAAAAAAAAAUGGACGGACUGAAUUCUGUCCGGUUAUGUUCAUACCAGAAAAACUCGAGUUUGAGGACCCUAAUGAUCACCAAAUUGGCUGAAAUUUUGCAGAGAUGAUCUACACAAUAUUAUCUAGAUACUAGACGGUGGAGAUGAGGAAAUUCGAUCGAAAAGUGGUGCAAAAAUGGAAAUCCGCACCAAAACCAUUGGUGCGGACGUCCGCACCUGAUCAGCAUUGUAUAUAUAUAUAUAAUAAUAAUAAUCUUACAAGUCCCUCCAUCCAUUUGACUGGUGUGGCAUGAACACUUUGGUGCACCUUGAUGGCGCUGGGUUUGAUGAUUUGGUGGUUUGUGGUGGAGUAAUAUUGGCUUCAGAAUUAGUGGAUGAGUGAUCUUGAACUUUCUUUCCAAUAUUUAUGUUCCAGUAAUUCAAGAUUCCAUUGUCUGUUCAGCCGGUAUCUGCACCAAUAAGUAAUACAGUAAAUAAUAAAAACAUACAUAUUGUGUAUAUGCUCUUAGCCUCUAUCUAGUGUUAAGUUGAUGUGGAAAGAUAAAUUGAUGUGGAACUGUUAAGUAGAAUCCCAGAGUGUUCUUUGCCUACCAAUAAAUUCAGAUCUAGCCAUGACAUUGUACGAUAGAUCAACUAAUGAUACCUCAACAAACAUGAACACAAAAGACUAAAUCUUGUACAAAGGAUUUAGGGAUGUGUUUGAACAAAAGAAACAUGGAACAAAAUGGAAUAAAAUCAUCAAAAUGAUAUUGAUUUCUCCCCGAAUCUAAAUAACUUAGAAACGAAUGAAAUAUAGUCUCAAGUCUCAAGUCUCAACUAACAAAAAAUGUGUCUGCUUUUUCACAACAUUCAUAACCAUACUGACCCACAAAAGGCAUGCGCUAUUGUUAGAUAAAUACAAANNNNNNNNNNNNNNNNNNNNGUAUAGUAUAUAUAUAUAUAUAUAUAUAUAUGUUAAUUAAUUUAUUAUAUUGUGUUGAUGGUAUGAAGUUGUUGAUGAUAUGAGUUGAUGAUGAUUUUGUGAUGAUGUUGAUAUAUAUAUAUAAUAUUGUUAUGUAAUUAUUAAGUAUAUAUAUAUAUAUGUUAAUUAAUUUGUUAUUAAUUAAUAUAUAUAAUAUUGUUACAUAUAUAUUUUGUUAUAUUUUCAGGAUAUGGAUAAGAGUUGGAUUUUGCUUCCAAAAUGGGACAAAAGAUAUGGUAAAUGAGUUAUUAGUUUUCUGGAAUAUGCGCUGGCUAAUGCUAACGGGAAUAGAAUUUUCUAUUGCCCGUGCACGAAAUGUCAGUGUCGCAGCGAUAUGCAUCGAUUUGCGAUUGACAAAGUAUGGCAGCACCUAAAGAGUAACGGGUUUUGGAAAAAGUACACAUGUUGGUUAUAUUACGGUGAAACAUUAUCAGGGGGUCCGCAUGAUCAUGGGCAAUUUUCUGAGACGGGCAGUACAUCCAACGAUCCAACAACGGCCUUCAUCAACAACAUGUUUCCUUAUGAGAGCGGUGUAUGCGCUCAAGAACAGUAUAUGCCUGAGCCGGUACAGCCCUUCCCUAGAGUUAUCAACACUGUUGGUAUUGACAAGUACAACAAAUUGCUUGCUUUCUAACAAACCCCUGUAUACCUCAGUUGUCAGAAGACUGUUCUUGAAAGUAUGAUGGACGUAAUGAAGAUUAAAGUUGAGACAAAAUCGACCGUGAAGGCUGUUGAUGAUUAUCUACAGUACACUGCUUCGAUGCUGCCCCACGGUCAUCGUCUUACUACCACUCAUCAUAAGGUCUGAUGUAUCCUGAAAGAUUUUGGGCUUUCCUACAUGAAGAUCCAUGCAUGCAGAUAUGACCACGUUCUCUUCUAGGGUAAAGAUGCAGAAGGGAAUGACCUUGGUGGCCUUGACGCAUGUCUGGUAUGUCACACUGACAGGUAUAAGCUGACUCCUGCAGACAAUAGGAAACCUAUGAAGGUACUUCGGUAUUUCCCGUUGAGGGAUAGGCUGGAGCGGUUGUACAUGUCUUCACACACGACCGAAGAUAUGAGAUGGCAUGCUGAUAGGGAAUUGCAUGAUGAAAAUACCCCUAUACACCCUGCUGACGGGGAGGCUUGGUAGCAUAUAGACAGGGAGUUUCCUCAUUUUGCGUCAGAGGUCCGAAAUGUGAGGCUCGGGCUCUCAUCCGACGGGUUCAACCCUUUUGGCAACAUGAGUCUUCGAUACAGUGUAUGACUGGUCAUUUUGGUACCGUACAACCUUCCUCCAUGGAUAUGCAUGAAGAAGGAAUACAAUAUGUUGAGUUUGUUGAUUCCAAAGCCCGAUUAUCCAGAGAAGUGUCUCCAUGUGUAUUUGAGACCUUUGAUUGAAGAGCUUAAGUUUUUGUGGGACGUUGGUCAUCCCACUUAUGACAAGUACAUGCACGAGAUGUUCUAGAUGCAUGUCAUGGUUGUUGGUACCAUCAGUGAUUUUCCUGCCCGUGGGAUGUUGUUGGGCAACGUUGUUAGGGGAUACAAGGCUUGUCCAGAGUGCCUUAACGAUGAGGGAAGCAGCAGUCAUUGCAACAAGAUAUGCAAUUUGGGUCACCGUACUUUCCUUCCAUAUAAUCACGAAUGGCGGUUCGAUGACAAGGCAUUUGAUGGGACCGUAGAAAACGGUGUGUCUCCUAGAAGAUGGACGGGGGAAGAAAUUUUAGCAAUGCUUAAUGAGUACGAUUUUGGGUAGCUCAGCAAUCAUCCCAAUAUUGUGGCGGCAAUACUUGAAAGACCCGACAGGUACAAAUUCUGGACACAUAAGAGCAUAUUCUGGGGACUCUCAUACUGGAGUAAGUUGUUAAUCAUGCACUACCUAGAUGUGAUGCACAUAGAAAAGAAUGUUUGCGACAGUGUGGUGGGCACAGUGCUGAACUUGGAGGGGAAGACGAAAGACGAUCCUAAGACACGCAUUGAUCUACAAAAAAUGCUUAUAAGAAGACAUUUGUGGUUGAAAGAAGGGAAGAAAAAAAUGCCUCAAACUCCUUACACCGUGAAGCCUGACCAGAAGAACGUAAUUUUCAGGUGGAUGAGUUGUGUGAAGUAUCCUUCAGGCUAUGCAGGAAAAAUAGCCCGGUGUGUGAACUUCCGGGACAAUAAGAUGUACGGGUUGAAGAGUCAUGACUGUCAUAUCCUGUUACAACAUCUCUUCCAUGUUUUCAUUCGACCGUUCCUUCCCCGUCUGGUGGUUGAGCCGUUAGUAGCGUUGGCAAGAUUCUUCCAGAAGUUAUGCACACGGAAAGUGAAAAAAUCUAACCUCCGGGAAAUGCAAGGGAACAUCAUUUAUAUCAUGUGUAAAUUUGAGAGAAUAUUUCCUCCAAAUUUUUUUGACAUCAUGUCUCACCUAAUAAUUCAUCUUCCCGAGCAAUUGUUGCUUACCGGUCCAGUACACUACACUUGGAUGUAUCCCAUGGAAAGGUACGUUUUUUACACCUGAAUUCCACAAUAUACAUGUUCAAUAAUCAUAACACUUUGCAACUUGAUUUAUAGGCAACUUGGAGACUACAAAGAUUAUGUGGCUAAUAGAUCCGCGCCUAAAGGAUGUAUAGCUGAAGCAUAUAUUGCGCACGAGUGCGUCACCUACAUAAAGUUGUAUUUAGGAGCGUUGAAGGAAACUCCGCAAACCAUGCCGGUAUUCCUAACUCCUCUACCGUUCGCCUUAAUAAUUUUAAGCGGGUUGUUCGGUGCGAAUUCGUGAUGAAGAGCCAAGGCUUAUUGAUGUUGAUCCAAAUCAAGAAACAGACGAAAACUCUGGCGAUGAGGAAAGACAUAGAUUACUAGAAAUUAAUUCUGACACCGAAGAAGACUCAUCGGAUGAUUCCGAUUACGAGCCUUAGUUUUAAUUUAGAGGACGUAAUACAUUAAUUUGUAAUAAAAAAGAAUGUAUUACCUUUAUAGUUUACAUAUGUUGAAUUCAUAUUUAUGUUAUUUUAUAUGAAUUUUGAUGAUAUAUGAACAAGAAGUUAGUAUGGUUUACAUUAAACCUUCUGUUUUUUAAUGUAUUUUUAUGCUUUAGCCGACGAAAUAUAUCAUAAUUCGUCGGCUUAAACCCUCUUAGCCGAUGAAUUAUAGUAUAUUUCGUCGGCUAAAACCAUCUUAAAUAAGUCAUAAUUCGUCGGCUAAGAUGAGGUUAGCUGACGAAUAACCUAAUAUUUCGUCGGCUAAACCCUAAACCCUAAACCUUAGCCGACAAAUACUCUAACAUACGACUCGUUGCGUCUCAUCGAUUUGAAACUAUUUUCUGUUGAAGGUCCGGUCGAAAUACGUAAUUUAGACGGUCCAAUGACCUUUUCCGUGCGUUUAGGGGUUUGACUUACGGGAUUGACCGUCCGAAUCGAGCCCUUAACCUUGUCGGAUCAAUUUGAAUUUUUUCCCAUACAUGUAUUUUAUCAUGAUGGUCAGAUCUGACGGUCAGAUUUUCGUAUCUCAAGUUUGAUCAUCACAAUCACAAUGUGCCGAAUGUAUAAAAUAAAUAAAUUGAAAAUAUUAAAUAAAAAGUACUAUGGCCGAAAAAUUUCAUUACUUUAGGCGACGAAUUUCAUUACUUUAGCCGACGAAUUUCAAAGGUUAGCCGACGGAUUUCAAAGGUUUAGCCGACGGAUUUCAAUUGUUAGCCGACGAAUUUCAAAUGUUAGCUGACAAGUAAAAAUUUCUUCGGCUAAAGGUAUAGGGACCGUAGAAAACCCAGCGCUUGACAGAGCUCCAAAAAAGCCUAAAAAACUUACCGGUCCGCCUCUUCGAGCCCACCACCACCUCACCGCGCUCCAUAGCCUCACCGCCUCCUCGAGCCCACCACCGCCUUACCGCGCGCUCACCGAGCUCCACAACCUCCACCGCCUCCUAGGUGAUAGCAGCCAAUCUGCCUCCUUCCGCCCUCUCCCUCUCGUAAUCUCCCUCUCCCUCUCCCUCUCCCUUUUCCACAAUACAAACACAGUCGAAAGGUAACUCUUUUCUUGACUUUGCUUGCUCUGUUUGCUUUAAUUUGCGGAUCUGGGUUGUUAAUUUGUGAUUUGCAAUGUAAUUUAGUUCGGUUUUUUUGAAAUUUCGGUGCUUUUUGACCUUUGGAAAUUUGUGGUACUAUGGAAUUUGGGACUGAUUAAUGCUCAAUUGGGUUGGUAAUGAUUUGGAAUAUCUGAUAUGGUGGAAGGGUGGUUGUUAUAGAUGUUGAACUCUGCUGAUUGAGUGGAGUCUUGGAUGUUAGGAAAGCUGCUAGGUUCUAUAGUAGUGUGAUUCUAGUUCAUUCUUAUAUAUCUUAUGCGACUGGCAUUGUAGUACAAUUCAAGUUUAGACAUUUUGUUUCUAGUUGUGGGUUCUCACCCGAUUUGUGAGCAUGUUCAGGGUAUUAGUUGCUGGUUUGCUGAAAAUAGAGACAUGGUAACUCUUUUCUUCCUGACAGAAUCCAUUUAUAAAAAGGAAAACUAAAAAAUCAAAAGAAAUCUAAGGAAAUAAACUAAAUAAUAUUCAUAUCAUUCAUCCAUAACAAGGCAUUUGCUAGGUUGCGUAUGAGAACUGGUAUUCAGUUUUGAUUCAAAUUAAUAUUUUAAACAGGAUGAGCGGUAAUUUUAGAUCGACGAAGGGUUCGAAGGGCCAAAGAUCCGAAUCGUCUUAGGGAACCUCUAACAACCCUCAAACGUCAUUUCGGGGCCCUAUGACAGCCAGACGUGCGACCCUUCUAGAGACGGCGCAGAGGCAGCCCAGCGGUUCCCAUUCCUCGAGGCAGCCGGAGGUGCCCUCUUCAUUGAGACAGCCGAGCGUCCCUCGUUCCUCGAGGCAGCUGUGGCCUCAAACCUAGACGGAGGUGUCUACACCCCGUAUACUUGAGAUACACCGAGCGCCCACUCCGGGUCCUACUACUUCAGAUGGUGGGUCAAAUGGGGUACAGAUGCCGCCGCCUCAUCUGUUCCUUCCGCGGAUAAUACCGGCCUUAUCUGCAGUCGAUGGCUUAGGGACGCCGAUUUAUCCACUGCCCCCGCCAGUGGCUUCAUCAGCGGCGUACCGGUUCGUGCCUUUUGAUACGCCUCUUAUUUCCAUGAGGGUAUCAUCAUCGGCGACAGAGACGGAAUUCGUCGCCUCCGCCGCAUCGCCCUUAGGUAAUGAAAGAUGAAUGAUUUGUUUUCUUAUAAUUAAUAAUAAAGGGUCUCAGAUUUUAAUAAUCAAUUUGGUUUGUCAUGUGAUAAGCACCGUCGGAGCGAAGCCGACAAAGAAGAAGAGAGGCCCCGUCACAGGGAAGGCUCUCGAGAAGAAUGUCAAUACCUCAGGGAGGAUCGUCAUCGGUACUGACGGGGAUGGCCACAUAGUAUCGGGCGGGAAGUCGAGGACGUACUCCGGCCGCGUGGGAGCGCUCAUUAGGGAUAGAGUCCCUAUGUUGUGGUCAGACAGGGGCGAGGUUCCGCUGGAGGUUAAGGACAUGGUCCACAACGCGAUGUCGGUGAGUUUACAAAAUGCCUCAAUAAUAUUAUGUAUUACAUUGUUGAUUUCUCGAAAAACUAAACUAAUAAACGGUUAAAUGCAGGUGUGGUUUGACGUUCCCGAGCACCUGAAGAACAGCUGGGCGGACGUUGUGCAUGGGGAAGUUACGUUAGGAAAUUAAUGAAAAAACAAAAUUGUAUGUGAUAUUAAUAAUAUUUCUAAUAUUUUUGUUGUAUCUGUAGGUACAAGGAGUGGAAGAACGAGUUGCGGACCCACUGGACUACGCACGGGAAUGCAUGUUCUGGUACCCUUGCUGAGUUCCAGUACAGGGAGUACGAGUGGCGUUGGCUUCUGACAUCAGAAUUCAACAACCCUCAUAAACAGGUAUUUAAAAAAAUUAAUUAGUUAAUUUGUCAUUAAGUACGUCCGUUUUUAAAUAUUUCACUAAUAGUUUUUUUUUUUUCUUUGAAGGCCGUUUCCCGGGCGAACACUCAGAACCAGCAACGCAACACAAGGAACCAUCGUGCCGGUUCUAGACCGUUCGCUGUCUUCAUGGAUGAGGCGGCCAGAGAACAUCUAGAAGUCAACCGGUACAUCUAUACGUACGAGAAGACAUAUCCUGACGCCCAGGAGGAUAUUGUAAGUCAUCUUACGUUUUUAAAUUUUUAAUUUUACUUAUAUAUAUGUCAAAAUGUUAAUUAAUCAUUUUUUUCCUAUCCAAUUAGGCGAAGUUGAGGGAGGCUAGUGACGAGGUGAUGAGUGCUAUAGUGAGGGAGACAUGGCCGGACACGCAGGAGGAAGAGAUGUCCGAAGCCAUGUCCCGGAUCGACAUUUCAGAUCUGAGGGUUGGGGCGAGGAUCAUGGGCACAGCCUUCCCACCGCGAGGAAACAACUUCUACAAUCGGGGUCUAGGAAAGAAGGGCGAGGGGGCCCUGAAGACCACUCCAGGAUUUCAACGAAACGCAGCCUCGACCAGCAGCAGGACGACUUAGCUAGAGUCGGAAGUUCAGAGACUACGGGAACAGCAAGCUGCUCAGGCUGCCUAUACUGCCGCGGUAUAUGCCACCCAGCAGGCCCAGCAGCAGCAGAUGUUCCAGUACUUGCAGGAGUUUACAGCUGCCCAGCUUCAGGGACUUCCGCCUCCGCCCAUGCCUACGCCUAUAUCGCUACCUCAGCCGCCGCACCCUCCUCCGCAGUAGCCCCCAGAAUCGGAUAUUGAUUUAGAUGAUCUAAAUUUUGUGUAGUUGAUCAAUUAUAUAGUUUUAUGUGCUUGUUGUUGGUUAUAUGGAAUUGUUUUGGUGUAUUUUGCAGCUUGCUUGGAAUGGUAAUUUAGAAAUUUUGGGUUUGUUUUUUUACUGGAAUGGACUUAUAGCCGAUGAAACAUGCCAUAAUUCGUCGGCUGUAGUAUUUUAAAUUUUUUUUAUAAGGUUUAGCCGACGAAUUAAGGCAUGUUUCGUCGGCUAAACCCUUUUAAAGCUGACGAAACAGACUAUAUUUCGUCGGCUAUAGUUAUUUUUUUAAUUUUUUAUUACAUACUUAAGCUGACGAAUAUCUUAAAUGUUUCGUCGGCUAAAGUCUCAUACUACGGUCGACGAAACAUUGAAGAUAUUCGUCGGCUCAAUUCUGGGACAAUAGCCGACGACGUCUUCUUGUUUCGUUGGCUAAAGUCAUCGCCGAUGACUCUUUCCUGACGAAAUCAUAGCCGACGAAGGCUCGUCGGCUAAGAUCUUAGCCGACGAAUUUUGCUAACAGGCCGACGAAACUUUUUCGUCGGCUAAAGUGCUUGUCCUGGUAGUGGAGGGUUUUCAAAGAUAAGAGGCAUGAUGCGUUUUGGGAUGAAUCUGAUGGAGAUUAGGGUCGAAAAGGGUGUGAAUCUGACAAGGGCAUAUGAGUCAGUUCAUAUAAUUCUCGGCUGACUUAGGCACUUAGGCAUGACUUGGCACUGACGUGGUAGUUUUUUAACGACCAUGUCAUCAGUCUAACGAAGAAAACCAACGGAGGACUAUUUGGAUAAAAAAUCGUGACUUUAAGGACCAUUCAGAUUAAAAUGAAACUUCAAGGACUAAACAGAUGAAAACUUCAAACCACAGGGGCUAAACAAAUUUUAAUUCUAUUCUUUUUGAUUUCUGGAUUUCGUAUGGAAUGCAUUGAGAGUAUGAUAUGUACUGUUUGUCAAACAUGCAUGAUACUUUUGGAUCCAAAUAUGAUAAGUUCCACUGGAGUAUAGUUGUUUACAGUUGCAAAAUGUCAGGUAGCUAACCUUAUAAAUAGAUUAUUUUACUCAUUCUGAGCAAAGUAUAUAUUGUGAUGGUGAUUUUGUUAAUUAGAAAGAUUAACAAAUAGGAUCGUUCGGACGUACAACUACCCUUCCAAAAUUCUCACAUACAUGAAUUCUAUCCAUAAUCAUAUGGUCAGCCAAGAGUAAGGCUAACAUGUAUUUCAACAUUAGCAUCCUGUGCAGAACUUUUUGUUUUACUCAUUUUAUAAUGCAUAUCUUAUGAAUAAUUCCUCAUCAAUAAUUGUUCCCAUAUAUCGAUCUCCAUUCCUCUAUCUUGAAUUGAUCAUCCUCUGUCUUGAAUUGUUGGGCGUGCACCUCUUCCAAGUAGAAACGUCGCUAGCGAAUAUGUUAAACUGCAGAUACAGUGAUCCUUCGCUAUCUUUUUUUUUUUUUUUUUAUUCGUACAGAUUUUUUUUUUCUUUUCAGACUUUAGAUUUUGAUUUUUCAUUAUUUUAUUGUAAUUUGAGUUGUUGUGAAAUUAGAUAAUUUCUACGUCACUUGCCACAUCAGUUUUAGUAGGUUGACAUCAUACUUAGAAUUGAUCUAGACCAUUGAAUUUUUUAAAAUCCAAUGGUUAAGAAAUAAUGUCAAAAUUAGUGUUAAAUCUAAUGUCUCUUGAACCGGCCGUAAAUACUAGUGUUAAAUCUAAGAAUUGUGUAAAAUUCCAUAAUCAAGAUUUCUAGGUUAAAUCAAAGGGUAAGGCUAGGGUUUGUUAAUACAUGUGAUGUAUCAACUUUGCCCUCAAGUUAUAAAAUGAGUCCUCAAAGUUGUAAUAUGAGUCGUUAAAGUUGUAACAACUUUUUUUAAUCACUUUGAGGACUCAAUUACCACUUUAAACACAUAUUUUACCACUUUAAAGACAUAUGAUUACUAAUGUUGUAACAUGAAAAUUUCAGAACUUUAAGGACUCAUAUUACAAUUUCGAGAACUAAUAUUACUAGUUUGAGGAGUCAAUUUACAAAGUUGAUGUAUCACAUCAUUCACAUGUAUUAACACAUUGUAGAAUUUUCCUAAAUGAAAUCCCAGAUUCAGUCUUUUCAAAUUAAGAAUAUCCCCCAGGAUUAUUGCUUUUUUAUUUCAACUUAUGGAAACUGAGGUCUGAUUCGAUGGGAACGGCGUCGUUGCUCUUCGUUGGUGAUGUGUUAUGGUGUUGUUGUUGUGCACCUCUCACUUGGGUUUAUGAAUAGAGNNNNNNNNNNNNNNNNNNNNGAGAGAGAGAGAGAUGGGUAAGUUAUUCGGUAUGGCUCACAAAUUGGAGUGAAGUUUCUUUCAGCCAUCAGAUCAGCUUCAUUUAAAUCUAAAGGUCACAAGUGACAUGUCCCUUUUGUCCUGUAAAAUCUCUUCCAUAGGUGAACGAUCUUGUUACUAUGCUAGCUAAGUCGUAGUUAAUAGGCUAGACUCGCUUAUGCUUAGGCAUCUUCAUCAUCCUUCAUCCUACCUCUAGGAGUAACAUGGCGAUAAAUGUUCAUUUCCUUUGCACCAUUGCUUGCAUCCCUUUUUCUUGUCAAAACUUUAAUUGAUUUCAAGUCUAUUCAAUCUCCAUCAUUGUCUUUCACCCUUUCUCAAAUUACUUAAAAAUAAAUAAAUAAAUAAGAAUUGAAAUUUGUUUAGUCCUUAUGGUUUGAAGUCGACAUCUGUUCAGUCCUUGUAAUUUUAUUUUAAUAUGAAUAGUCAUUCAAGUCACGAUUUUUCAUCCAAUGGUCUUUCCGUCAAUUUUUUCUGUUAGAAUACUGACCUGGCUGUUAAAGACAUUGUAAUUUUUAACGGCCACAUCAACAAUAUAACUGAGAAAAUUGACGGAAUGACUAUCUAAAUGAAAAAUCGUGACUUUAAAGAUCAUUCAGAUUAAAAUAAAACCACAAAGACUGAAUAUAUAUUGACUUUAAACCACAAGAACUUUACAGUAUUUUACCCAAUAAAUAAACUAGUUGAUGCAUCCACACAUUUCUAAGGCAUUGGCUCAACUCCCCCACUAAUUGAUUAAUCGGCUAGGACUGAACAUAUAUCAAUUUUAAACCACAAGAACUUUACAGUAUUUUACUCAAUAAAUAAACCAGUCGAUGCAUCCACACGUUUCUAAGGCAUUGGCUCAACUCCCCCACUAAUUGAUUAAUCGGCUCAGAAACAUUUGAAGGAACGAUCGACCCUAAUUAGCUCACCAAAAUUAACCUAAAGUGAACAUUUUGUAGUUGUGUGUAGGAAGCGUGGUACCAAGGAGAUCCCUUUCUUUCGCUUCCAUAGCAUCUCUUUUUUCUCCAUCAGCGAAUGACCCACCAAUCAAGGAUUCAAGGGUUCUCUCAUCUCUUCCCUUUUCUUUAUUCCACCCCUUUUUGUUUUUGCCUCUUUCAUUGAACCUUUUCUUAGAGAAGAAAAGUGAAGCAGGGCCAGCACUUCCUUGUUUUCAGAUUUUAGCAGCAAAUUAGAUGGAGACGCGACCCAUCCCUAGUACGCAAGUUGCGACUUGAUGCUGCUAUCCACUCGCAUAAGGGCAACAUAAAUUAAAUUCUCAAAGAAAAAAGAAAAAAAAAAAAAAG
rnacentral:lncRNA from 1 species